GACGAACGCUGGCGGCGUGCCUAAUACAUGCAAGUCGAACGCAGUGGGGACGGGUGAGUAACACGUGGGUAACCUCCCCAUCAGAGGGGAUAACACUUGGAAACAGGUGCUAAACCGAUACUGCUGGAUGGACCCGCGGUGCAUUAGCUAGUUGGUGAGGUAACGGCUCACCAAGGCCACGAUGCCUAGCGGACCGGAGAGGGUGACCGGCAAAACUGGGACUGAGACACGGCCCAGACGCCUACGGGAGGCAGCAGGAGGGAAUCUUCGGCAAGGGACGAAAGUCUGACCGAGCAACGCCGCGUGAGUGAAGAAGGUUUUCGGAUCGUAAAACUCUGUUGUUAGAGAAGCGGGAUCUAACCAGAAAGCCACGGCUAACUACGUGCCAGCAGCCGCGGUAAUAC
rnacentral:rRNA from 1 species